AUGCAGCUGCAGAGCGGAUGGAGGGGAUGCAGCUGUGGAAGGGAUGCGGUGCAGAGGGGAUGCAGCGCAGAGAGGAUUCAUGCCGGCGUGGCCAGCACAUCGCCGGCACGCUCCCGGCACGUGCCCGGGGCCGGGCGGCGCGAAGCCCUCACCCGCUUUGGAGAUCCACUCCAUGUAGCCGUUGAGCUCGCGCUCGAUCUGCUGCUGCCGCCGCAGCUUCAGGAAGGCCCGGCGGUUCUCCACCCGCUCCCUCUCUUUGGCGAACUCCCUGCCGGGACAGGCCGGGCAUCAGCGCCGGCGCCCGGGGGGACGCGGGACCCCCGUCCAUCCAUCUGUCCGUCCGCCUGCGGCGCUUACCCGGACAGCACCCCCAGCACUAGGUUCAGCAUAAAAAAGGAGCCGAUGAUGAUGAGGGGGAUGAAGUACAGCCAGUUCCAAGUGUUCCCUGAGGCGUCGUUGCUCUGCAGCCGGGGAAGGGGGUGGGAGAAGGGAGAGAAUGAGAGGCCUGAGUGUUGCUGCACCAGUGCACUGAGUUUGCCGGGGCUCAGCCCAGGAUGCUGCAGAGCCCCCCCGGGCGUUUCCCUCUUUGCAGGCGGCCAGGCCUGGGCCCAGGCAUCCGGGCGGCUCUGGCCCCCCCCCCCCCAGGGAAGGAUGCCGGGGGAAGGCGGGGGGGGGCAGGUCUUUCUCCGUCCCCCUCCCGCGUGCGGCCACGGCCGCGGGGCAGCUCCGGGCACGGCGCUAACGGCUCUCUCCCCUGGCGGCCUCUUUGCAAGCACGCGAGCGGCUAAAGCUUCCCCGGCCCCGUUUUUCUGCCUGCUAAAUAUAGGCCGGGAACAAAGCGCCGCAGCGAGGCAGCGGCUCCGGCGGCUGCGGGAGCCGAAUGCGGCCCCCACGUCCUCGCCCGCUCCCCGAGCCGCCGGCGCCCAGCCCCGGGGCUGCCGGCCGCGGGGAUGGAACGGGACAAGCCGCGGCCCUGGCGUCCGACGGGGAACCCGGGUGCCCCGUGCGGGGCUCCUGCCUAGCUGGUGGCCUUUUUUCUCCUGCUUUCCAGCAAUCCUUCCCUUUGCAAUCCCUCCUUUUGCCAUUCCACUUCGCGAUCCCUCUCCUUGCGAUUCCUCUUUGCAAUCCCUCUGCUUGCAAUCCCUCCCUUUGCAAUCCCUCUUCUCAAUCCCUCUCCUUGUGAUCCCUCUCCUUGCAAUUCCUCUUCGCGAUCCCUCCCUUUGCAUUCCUCUUUGCAAUCCCUCUCCUUGCAAUUCCUCUUCUCAAUCCCUCUCCUUGCAAUCCCUCCCUUUGCAAUUCCUCCCUUUGCAGUCCCUCUUCUCAAUCCCUCUCCUUGCGAUCCCUCUCCUUGCAAUUCCUCUUUGCAAUCCUUCCCUUGGCAAUGCAUCUCUUUGCAAUUCCUCUUUGCGAUCCCUGCCUUUGCAAUCCCUCUCUCGCCUUCAGGAAUUGACAGUUUCUACCCUUUUUCUCCCCGUUUUCCCGCUCCGAGUGCGGGCCGCGAUCGCCGGCGCGGCAGCCCCAGGCCAGCGCAGCUCCCUCCCGCCCCAUCCCAGGGUGCCGGGGCUGCCGAGCGGCGGGGAGGACGGCAGCGAGCGGGCAAGGAGCCCGGCUCCUCCGGAGCGCUGCCGCCUUUUCCCUGAGUCGGCAAAACGCCGCGGUGCCGCACGUGCCCGGCCGCGUGCCGCC
rnacentral:lncRNA from 1 species